rnacentral:rRNA from 1 species
GACGUAGGGGGCCAGCGUUGUUCGGAAUUACUGGGCGUAAAGAGCGUGUAGGCGGCUUGUUAAGUCUUGCGUGAAAUCUCGGGGCUCAACCCCGAGCGGUCGUGAGAAACUGGCAGGCUAGAGUGCGGGAGAGGAGAGUGGAAUUCCUGGUGUAGCGGUGAAAUGCGCAGAUAUCAGGAAGAACACCCGUGGCGAAGGCGGGUCUCUGGGCCGAUAUUGACGCUGAGGAGCGAAAGCGUGGGGAGCGAACAGG